CUCGCCUUAGCCCGGUUCCGGCGGGAAGCGCUCGUGGGGGGCAGAAGGAGGGGUGGAAGUCGGAGGAAUCAUAGACUUCCUAGGUUGGAAAAGACCUUUGAGGUCGAGACCAACUGUACCUGUCCACUACUAAACCGUAUCCCUGAGCACUCCAUCUGUCCGCCUUUCAAAGACGUCCAGGGAUGGUGAUUCAACACGUCGCUGGGCAGCUGUUCCCGUGUCCGAGAACCCUUUCGGUGAAGACAUUUCUUCCAAUCUGAACCUCCCCUGGUGCAGCUUGAGGCCUUUCCCUCUCCUCCUAUCGCUUGGGAGACAGGAGGACCUGGAAGUUCCCCACAUGGCAUCACCUUCGUGUGGCUGCGGUGUUUGAAGUGGGAAGUCUCAAGGCAGCGGCGAGAUUUAGCCAGAGCGGUGCUACAUAAACUCAUUUCUCAUUCCAAGGAUCGCAGGGGCAGUUGGCAGCAUUUGCGUUCAAACACUAACCAAGGCUUGUUGCUGAGGCUUUCUGAUUCAACUAGAGAUUUUUAGACAAACGCGAUGCUUCAUCCACGUUUGGAUUUCAUGCUGAGUAUUUUGAGAUCACAGCAACAGUCAGGUCUUUUAAAAUUAUGUCUCAGUCUCUAUCAUUCAGGGAUUUCUUUGUGAAAAACGUCGCCCUCUGCAAGGGUAUUUGUAUUAUAGAAGCACCGGGCAGAACUAACCAAAUAUUGAUUUUAUAUCCUGUCACACAAGCAGGUAGUAAUCCCUGCCUUGUGUACUCAGCCUCAGCUUAUAACAGCCAGCAGUGAGUGAAUUAAACAGAAUGAAAUGAGAGAAGGAAAGAGUAAAAAAAAUGGAGCUCUCCAUGUACAGAAACCACCUUGGUUUAUUACCUGCCCAGCCAGCAUUAGUGACCUAAACGGAAGGUUUUUCUACACCCUAACACACACUGGAUGGGAUGGGUACAUGAGCUGAUGAGAAACUGUCGCUGCUGACAAAGCAAAGGGAGGGGUUCCCCUGCACCAUAAGGUAAGGUUCUGUGUAUGAUUACUGGUGCAUAGCUAAGUCAUGAGGUCCUAACCAGAAGUUUGUUUCUCAAGUAAUGGCAGAAGCAAUGUAACCGUUUUGAAGUGAUUAUUUCUUCCAGAAGGCAACAGAUGAUUCAGAAUUUCCCUUGUGCCAGGUAGUUAAUAAUCAAAAUUCUCAGAAAACUUCCUCACUCCUUUCCCAAAGUAAUAUUUUCCAGAGGACUGCUAAGUGAUUUCUCUGCAGUUGCAAAUAUGGAUCCUUCUGAACAAGGCCUGAUCGUAAGCUGGCAAAUUUCCUAAACACAGGAGAGAGAGGACCAUUGAUCUUCCAGUGACAGUGCUGAAGACAUUUGCUAAAAUUAGAGCUAACCAUUUAAAUCUUGCAAAGUGUUCACUUCUUUGGUCACCUAGUAAUCAAAGCCAACACUGAGAAGAAAGGAACACAAAAGGCAAGUAUGUAGCUGUAGAAGGUUAUGCUACCUCCCUGUAUUCAUCCAGUCUUAAAGUCACUAGGAAUAAGGACUACCUUGCUACCAGUAGUUUCUGUUGCCCUCUUUAGCCAAAAAAAUAGCUGUUACUGCCCAUUUUCAUCAGUAAGUCUUUUUUUCUGCACUUCAAACUCCACCAUGUAAUGACAAGACUGUCUUUUACUAUAAUUCACAGUGCCUGUGAGAGAGGGCCAGGUGCACCCCCUAUUACAGAAGCCUGGCUAGACUGGCAUUUGUAAACCAAGGCAGCUUAAUUCCCCUCUGCCCUAUGCUGUACCGAGCUCCCUAGUGUUGCAAACAGACAUUUUAUCCUUUCUUCUGUAAAAUGAUCAUGCUUUCCCAUCGAACAUUUUGGCCCUUGCUGCUGCUACCAGGAGGCUGUCUGAGAGAAACUUCUCUAACAGCUGGAAACCUUUUUAAAAUUUCAAACUCACAUUUCCCUGUGACCAGUCCACAUCUUUCUUUUCUUCCGGUGCAAAUACUGUCCUGAAGUAGCUUUUCCCACUCUCCUGUGUGUAUCCGCUGCCAGAAGUAUUUAUAGACAGCAAUGUCAUCCACACAGAGCCUUUAUUUUGCAGGACCAAACAAGUCAUGCUUUUCUCAUUCUCCUCGUGAUUUCCCCCGUUGGAAGCUGGACUGGUACAAAGCUGGUUAUGGGAAACACAGAACGUUACCUAUAUCCUGGUUCCUCUUCUCAUGACACAGCCUUGCUUCUAGUUUCUGAAUCCUUACGUUGGCCACAUGAAAGCCAUUAAAAGCAUAGAAUCAGCUAAGCAGCUCCAAGUGUAGGCCGGUUUAGAGGCCAAUGUGCCCUACCUUCUCAUUUGAUACAAGAGUUUUAAUGAUUCGUGAUUAAAGGGCACAUUUGUCUCUUUUUGAGGUUGGAUCACGUGGCAGGAUUCCACUUCAAGUUCACAAAGAUGGAGAAGAUUAUUUAUGUGAACACAUGCUGUCAGGCCUGCUGGAGAACAGCUGCCCGGCAUCUCCUCUCCAGGUGUUUCCCAGUGGAGGAGAAGCAGCAGGCAGCCAUUUACAGAACAGAGAUGAAACUUUUAACAGCAGUAAAUGGGCCAAGAGAAAGAGUCAGAACGCUACUGUGACAUUUCCAUUGCUCUUCCAUACUAGCAAGUUUGAAGAGCUACCUGACAAAAACAAGGGAAUUCAGCAUUCGGCGCAUAAAAACCAGUGGGAGACAGCAAAGUAAAAGUGAAAUAAUUCUGCAUUGCUCAGUGUGCCACAGUUCAACAUUGCACAACAACGACUCAGCCUUAUCACUGGCUAUGAUCUUGCUGCUACAACUCAAGAAAAGAUUAUCCUGGGACAAAUACCUGUGAUUAAUGCCAUAUACAGACUGGCUGUUGAAGCGAAAAUACUUUUUAAACCCUUGCCACCAGACCUCAAAGAUUUUGUUGUCGAACACCUACAGUGCUUCUGUCUGGAUAAAGUAUCAGGAAGAAGGUGACUAUGACUUUGGCCUCACAGAAGAUGCAGAUACAAGGGUUGAUGCAAGGGAAUUACCAAGAUGAUGCAUCCAUAGACAAUCAAUAGCUGCUUUUACUGCAGAAUGUGAAUGCCCUCACUGACAAGUAAGACUUCUUAUCUUUUCUUAUCACUACCUUCUGUGUUAUCCUUGCUCCGAUUUUGCACAGACAUUCAGCGAAAUUGAGGCCAUCAAAAGUAUUAAAUUAAUGCACCUAAGCUGAAGUACUUUCAACUGCCAUAUUAAUGUUUCUUUAAAGUGCCUUUGGUUCCCUGUAGCUUCUCAUAGUAUAUUGUGUCUGAUUGGGAUAGCAUAAAUUUUCUUCGUAGCAGCCCACAUGGUGUUGUGUGUUAGAUUUGUGACCAAAACACUGUUGAUAACGCACCAGUGUUUAAGCUGUUGCUGGGCAGUGCAUCAAGGCCUUCUCUGUUUCUCACUCUGCCCCCACAGCGAGUAGGCUGACAUGAGCUGACCAAAGAGAUACCACACACCGUAUAACAUCAGGCUCAGGCAUAAAACUGGAGGGGGGGAAUUUUUGCAAAGUUGCCAUUGCUUGCAGACUGGCUGGGCAUCAGCCUGCUUGUGGGAGGUGGUGAGUGCCUUUCCAUCCUUUGUUUAUUUUCCUUUCUUUUUCUUUCUUUCCUUGCCUUAUUAAACUGUCUUUAUCUUAACCCAUGUAUUUUUCUUACUUUCACCUUUUCCGUUCUCUCCCCCAUCCCACUUUGGGGAGAGUAACUGAGCAGCUGGGUGGGUGUUCAGCUGCCAGCCAGGGUCAACCCACCAUCCAUAGAAAAGUUCUGAGGUGAGAAUGAGAAGAAAGUGGGAUGCUUCUUACUAGGCUAAUCACUUUGUCAUGGCUCUCAUUUUCUACGUAUUAUGCAGAAACUACCAAAUUCCUGUUGUUGGACUUGGUGGAAGAAUUCACAAUUCAUUUUCUCUUUCCCAUCUACUGGUGUCAUCAAGAAGGCAGUACGGAUCUCAAAAGAAUUAACAAAUUGAUAACAGUUCCUGUUGUAUGUACCAAACAAACAAAAUGUGCUGCUACUUCCAGCCUCUAAUGCAGGCAUAGGUAAUCUACAGUUUUUAAACCACUUGAAGCUUGUGUGUGGCUUCUGCAACAGCUGUACCAUAUAAGAGAUAGCAAGCGGUACAAGUGUGGAAGUUCCUUCACGUUCUGUAUGUCCAGCUCUCCGAAAAAGCAAACUGGAACCACUGAAGCCAAAAUUACCGUCACCUUGAACUCAGCGCUGCUCUCCAGCAGAAUGCUUACCAACCCUCUAUAAUGUCACUUUACAGAUUUUGCCCUCUCCUUAGCAUCAUGAGAUCUCACAUGAACUUGAGCUUUCACCUUUCAUCUUCCUCAAUAUGAAACUGUUGUUUGUUUGAUUCUGCACAGACACAGUCUGAUACCAUGACAGCCAAACCAAAAUCUUCCUCAGGCUGAAGUUUUCUUACCAUUCCAUAAACCUGUGCAAAACAGGCUUCUCCACCACCCUCUGACUUCUGAGGCCUUGUGGAAAUGUGGAUUCUACAAGGGCAUGAGAUUUUCAGGACUGUCUGAAAGCACAAAACAUGGAAAGGAGGUUUUUUGUUUGUUAUAUGAUAUUUCAAAGUAAAGAGACUUAAAUUUUAGGGACUGAAAUUCAUACAUUCUUUAAAUCAAAUGAAGCUUCAAUAGUAACUUGAUGGAGCCAUGUUUAUCCCAGAGUCUGUUCCAAACCUUAUUGUUACUAUUGAAAAAACUGUAUUAUAUUUGUUUCAGUUCUUGUGUCUAUAAUGUAGAAACAAUAACAUUUAGAUAUUCUUAAUAGGACUACCUCAAAUCUAAUUGGUAACUUUGGACACUCAGAGUAUUAGCUGUUAUUUUAUUGUUAUUACUUUGUUAUUGCAAAAUGAUAGUUCCUAGAAACAAAACUUUCUUCAUAUAACCUGUUGAGUCCUUCACUUGCAAUGGAUUCUUUGGUAUAAAGUGAAACACGAAGAGCUGUAACCUUAGCAUGCUUGUUAUAGAAGAAAGCAUGCUCAAAAUAGAAAUAAUUAUGAUAUCAGUGGUAACAGAAACAAAAGCAGUAGACUAGCGUCAGAUUACCAAAGUGUUCUCAGUAGUGAAACCCUGAAUGCUGUAUGCAGUGAACUGGAUACUUACGGAAAAUAAAACAAGCUAAUAUAAAGAAAAUCUGUUUAAAUGGUGACCAUUGUGCAAUUACACUAAGAAACCAUUUUGGGUGCCGAGCUCACUUCAGUCUGUUUAAUUUUAAUGUGUUGCUUUUGACUUAAGCCAUUCCCAGGUACAGAUAAAGUUGUGUUGCUAAGAAGUGGCCAAAACAAAGUCCUGGCUUCUUUGGAUCCAUGUCGCAUUCUUGGUCCUUUCCUGACAUCAAUAGCUCAGGCUCCCCGCCCAUCAUCAAUCUUCCCUUCCCCCAGUGUUCACAUCUCCCUUCCUCCUGCUGCCUUCCAGCUCCCAGCUGGUGAGAACCAAGGGGAUGUGGCUGCUUUUGAGCUAGGCCUGUGCUGGUUGCCAGCAAACUAAACAUAUUAAAUAACCUUUGAUCUUGGGCAACAGCCUUUCAGUCACGGUAAUAAUUUGAAGGAAGUGCCCUUUCCUUUACUGAGCUGUUAUGUUUCACAAAACUUAGAGGAAUUCCAUAGCCUAAAGUUUUCAAUUUCUGCAUCAAGUGUAACUGAAAUGAACUUGUGGGUUCAAAAAUCAGAGGUCUGACAAGGUUGGUGGGCAAACAGCAUAUCUUCUAAGCCCUGUUUCCUGAGGCUUAUAGGAAAAUACUGUAAGGGAAAUACUAUACUGAUGAUAUAAUAGGUACAACUCCCAGUAGUUUAUAAAUAAGGUUUGAGGAAGAAGGUCUGGGCAACAUGCACAAUAUUGGUCUUGGGAGUUUCCAUACCUUUUACAGCAUUCUAGGGAGAUCUCCCAAGCCAUUUAAUUGCAACACUCAAAAAAGCUACAGUGGUUUUUAUUAAAACAGAAAUUAGUAGAGACUGGGAUUGCAUUUCAGGAGACAGAACAUGAGUCUUUGUUAAAUGUCGCUGGUCCAGCAAUUUGGCAU